AGAGUUUGAUCCUGGCUCAGGACGAACGCUGGCGGCGUGCUUAACACAUGCAAGUCGAACGAAGAGCGAUGGAAGCUUGCUUCUAUCAAUCUUAGUGGCGAACGGGUGAGUAACGCGUAAUCAACCUGCCCUUCAGAGGGGGACAACAGUUGGAAACGACUGCUAAUACCGCAUACGAUCUAACCUCGGCAUCGAGGAAAGAUGAAAGGUGGCCUCUAUGUAUAAGCUAUCACUGAAGGAGGGGAUUGCGUCUGAUUAGCUAGUUGGAGGGGUAACGGCCCACCAAGGCGAUGAUCAGUAGCCGGUCUGAGAGGAUGAACGGCCACAUUGGGACUGAGACACGGCCCAGACUCCUACGGGAGGCAGCAGUGGGGAAUAUUGCACAAUGGGGGAAACCCUGAUGCAGCAACGCCGCGUGAGUGAUGACGGCCUUCGGGUUGUAAAGCUCUGUUAAUCGGGACGAAAGGCCUUCUUGCGAAUAGUGAGAAGGAUUGACGGUACCGGAAUAGAAAGCCACGGCUAACUACGUGCCAGCAGCCGCGGUAAUACGUAGGUGGCAAGCGUUGUCCGGAAUUAUUGGGCGUAAAGCGCGCGCAGGCGGAUCAGUCAGUCUGUCUUAAAAGUUCGGGGCUUAACCCCGUGAUGGGAUGGAAACUGCUGAUCUAGAGUAUCGGAGAGGAAAGUGGAAUUCCUAGUGUAGCGGUGAAAUGCGUAGAUAUUAGGAAGAACACCAGUGGCGAAGGCGACUUUCUGGACGAAAACUGACGCUGAGGCGCGAAAGCCAGGGGAGCGAACGGGAUUAGAUACCCCGGUAGUCCUGGCCGUAAACGAUGGGUACUAGGUGUAGGAGGUAUCGACCCCUUCUGUGCCGGAGUUAACGCAAUAAGUACCCCGCCUGGGGAGUACGACCGCAAGGUUGAAACUCAAAGGAAUUGACGGGGGCCCGCACAAGCGGUGGAGUAUGUGGUUUAAUUCGACGCAACGCGAAGAACCUUACCAGGUCUUGACAUUGAUGGACAGAACUAGAGAUAGUUCCUCUUCUUCGGAAGCCAGAAAACAGGUGGUGCACGGUUGUCGUCAGCUCGUGUCGUGAGAUGUUGGGUUAAGUCCCGCAACGAGCGCAA
rnacentral:rRNA from 1 species